GACGAACGCUGGCGGCGUGCUUAACACAUGCAAGUCGAACGGUGAAGCUCCAGCUUGCUGGAGUGGAUCAGUGGCGAACGGGUGAGUAACACGUGAGCAACCUGCCCCAGACUCUGGAAUAAGCGCUGGAAACGGCGUCUAAUACUGGAUACGAGAUCAAGCCGCAUGGUUAUGGUCUGGAAAGUUUUUCGGUUUGGGAUGGGCUCGCGGCCUAUCAGCUUGUUGGUGAGGUAAUGGCUCACCAAGGCGACGACGGGUAGCCGGCCUGAGAGGGCGACCGGCCACACUGGGACUGAGACACGGCCCAGACUCCUACGGGAGGCAGCAGUGGGGAAUAUUGCACAAUGGGCGAAAGCCUGAUGCAGCGACGCCGCGUGAGGGAUGACGGCCUUCGGGUUGUAAACCUCUUUCAGCAGGGAAGAAGCGAAAGUGACGGUACCCGCAGAAGAAGCACCGGCUAACUACGUG
rnacentral:rRNA from 1 species